AUGAAGAAAACUGUUGAACCAAGGAAGAGCGGCUGGUCAAAGCCGCUUGAAGGCUUCGUGAAGCUAAAUGUAGAUGCAUCAUUCUGGGCACACUUCCUCCAGGGAGCUGUUGGUGCUGUCCUACGGGAUCAUAAGGGGGGAUUCGUUGCGGCGUCCAAUGAACAACUGGAGCAUGUUGCAGAUGCAGGGACGGCGGAAGCCUAUGCACUUCGACAUGGAUUGCUACUGGCGCAACAACUGGGGAUAUGUAAGCUUGUGGUUGAGUCCGACUGUCUCGAGGUGAUCAAUACCAUGCAGAAUGGAGGCUUCACAGCUUCAGGCGCAGCGGUGAUUUAUUCGGAUUGUUUGGUCCUUGUUAUAGGUUAUACUUCGAUCACAUUUGUUCAUUUCCCUAGAGAGGCAAAUUCUGUAUCUCACGACCUAGCUAGGAUGGCAGCACCAUCACCUUCUCUAUGGGUCGAGGAACCGCCUGAUUUUAUUGUAAAAGGCUUGGUGGACGAUGUAAUAGUUAUAUGA
rnacentral:rRNA from 1 species